rnacentral:rRNA from 1 species
AGCAGCCGCGGUAAUUCCAGCUCCAAUAGCGUAUAUUAAAGUUGUUGCAGUUAAAAAGCUCGUAGUUGAAUUUCGGGAUUGACGCAUCGGUCGUGCCUUAAGGGGUAUGAACUGGUGUGGUCAAUUUCUUACCUUCUGGUGAAUUAUGAUGUCCUCCUUAAUUGGGUGUUUCAAUGAACUAGGACUUUUUACUUUGAAAAAAUUCGAGUGUUUAAAGCAGGCAUUAUUUGCUUGAAUACAUUAGCAUGGAAUAAUAAAAUAGGACAAUGAUUCUAUUUUGUUGGUUUCUAGGAUCACUGUAAUGAUUAAUAGGGAUAGUUGGGGGCAUUAGUAUUCAAUUGUCAGAGGUGAAAUUCUUGGAUUAAUUGAAGACUAACUACUGCGAAAGCAUUUGCCAAGGAUGUUUUCAUUAAUCAAGAACGAAAGUUAGGGGAUCGAAGACGAUCAGAUACCGUCGUAGUCUUAACCAUAAACUAUGCCGACUAGGGAUCGGAUGAUGUUAAUUUUUUAAUGACUCA